UCUGCGGAGGGAAAGGACAAGGUCAGUGCAAUCAGGGAGGGAGGAGGAGUGGCCACGACACACACAUGCGCAGAGAAAACAGCACCAGGAGGGCUGCUGUCACAGAGCAGCGGGGCUCCCCUUCAGUUCACGCUCUGUACCUCAGUAGGACAGUGUUGCUCCUAACACACCGGGGGAAGCCCAUGGACUGCACAAUGGCUGACCCUUGUCCAGCUGAGCACGAGCUAUGUGACUGUCCCCAACACAGAGUUAGUUCAUCAGGUUACACAUCUCCUUGGAGACUCUGUCUCCAAAGAGACAGAGAACUGGUUUUCAGAACAAGAGAGCAAGGGCAGCUCAGCCAUGCUGAUACGCUCACUGGUCCCAAUGAAGUCAAACUGCAGGAAAGGGUGUGUAAGUCCAAGACUUCUUUUUUUUUUAAGACUUUUUUUGUUGUACUGGAAACUGAAUGCAGGGCCUCUGUACCAUGCUAUAUACCUCCCUCCCACCCCGCUUUUUUUUAUGAGUUCAAACUGGCCCUGAAUUCACUAUGUAGCCAGGCUGGCCACAAAUUUGCAGUGAUUCUCUUGCCUCUGCCUUGCAAGCGCUGGGAUUCCAGGUGAGCACCACCACGCCUGGCCCUUCCUGUCCUUUUUCACUUUGAGACAGAGUCUUACUAAAUCACCAAUCCCCAGGCUGGGCUCAAAUUUGUAAUCCUCCUGAAAGUCCUAGAGUGAUGGAGUAUAGGUAUGUACCAUCAUGCCCAGGCAAGGCACUUUUUUUUGUUUGUUUUAUUUUUUCAUACAAGGUCUAACCUGUUGUACUCUAAGAAAAUAGCUUCGUUAUAUGUGUAUUAUAGCAAACCUGCAACAUGGCUUACUAAAUGUGUUUUUUUAUCCUUUUUCCCUAACUAACAUGUUAAGUGACCUAAUUGAUAUGUUGAGCAAUACUCUCCUCUGUAAAGAAUUGCAAGAAUCUCACCUAAUUGAUAUGUUAACCAUUGUUGCCCUCUACAAACUACAGAAGUUGUGCUAAAACAAGCUAACAAGGGUUGUUAAUCACUGUUAGGCGCCUCUAUUCUCCGCUAAAGAGCUAAAGAAAAACUAGAAUGGCCCAUUAAUUUACACUUGUUUAAAGUAACCUGUUUGUGUACAGAGAGAUUUGUGUAUGAGUUUAACCCUUUACCCUGACCUUGACACAUAACCGCCAUUUUCUGUUCUGUAUGGCGCCUUAUUGCCUCCCUCUCCCCUCACCUCUCUAUCUAGGCCAUAAAGAAUUUGGGUUUCUGGUGACCUCUUCCCGACCCGGUGAUGAUCUGUCAUAAAAUGAGCCUGCCCCAAUUUUAAGAACUGUUUAGCUUCAAAGAAAUUACCGGGAAAUACUAUGGCCCAAACCCCAAUCAGUGCUUUCCUUUUGUUCUGUAUGCAUCAAAUGAGUUAGAUAUCAGAUCUUUGUAAAACUUAAGUUUCAGCUUCUUGUAACUCUUGACCUCUUCGCACCCAUUAGCGAAAACGAGCUGUCCUGGGAUAAUUAACUUCCCCACUUUCUUCUCCAAAUAUUGCUGCAGAUGUGCCACUCCGAGAUAAUGUCAGUCUGUAGGAUGGGAGUGAUUUGAGAAACACCAGGAACUCCCGAGAUUGUCAGAGCUAAGUGGACAGCAAUACAGUUUCCAGACUCGGGUCAACAAGUUUGAUGGCUCUGCAGGUUUCUUUGUUUCUCCCCCCACCCUUUUCCUCCAGCCUCUUUUUAAAGUCCUCCCUUCAGUCUCUGGGACACAGUCUCCAAAUUGGCUCCCGGAGACUGGUCGCCAGGCCUGGAAAUAAAGCCUUUGCCACUUAAAUUUUCGGUCUCUUGCCUCCUUGGAUUUUAUACCAGGGCCCAAGUUAUAACAUAACCCUGUAGUUUAGGCUGGCCUUGAAUCUACUACUAGCCCAGGCUGGCCAGGAACUCACAGAAAGUUUUACAGGUGCUGGAAUUAUAAGCAUGCACCACCACACCUGGCACAAAGUACAUUUUUAAAAAGGUUAGUAAGUUCUUUAUUGUAACCUGGUUUCUGGAGCGUGUUCCCUAAAGGUCAGCAACCCAGAGAAAUGCUGGAAGUUAAUCUGUCAUUUCCAAAGGUACUCACAGAGCGCCUUUUGUGAGCUGUUUUGUGGCUGGCCUCUUCUGUCCUCCUGAGUGACUGUCCACCUGAGAUCAAGACACCUCUUAUUAGUCCCUUUUCUAGGAAAAACAGCAGCAUGCAAUUACACAAAAGGUCAAUGUGUUCAAAGUGUUUUCAGGGGCUUAUCAAGAGUGUAUUCUAGGGGCUGGGGAUUUAGCUCAGCGGCAUAAGUGCCUGCCUUGCAAGCAGGCAGUCGUGAGUUCGGUCCCCGGUACAAAUAGAAAGAAAAAAGACCAAAAAAAGAGAGUGUAUUCUAGGACUCCAGGAUGGACCCUGCUAAAAACCCAAUAGGCCCACUGACUCUGGGUAACAAAGCUGUGCUGUGUUGAGGUCACAGAAAGCAGUGUCACUGACAAAGAAGGACUCAACUUUGUCUUUUGUUGCCCUUUAUGAGAUAAAGUCUCACUUUGUCAGCCAGGCUCGCUCUAAACUCCUGGGCUCAAGUGAUCCUCCUGCCUCAGCUUCUGGAGUAGCCAGCUGGGAAGCCAGAUGUGUACCACUGUACCCAGCUCAGAUGUACCUGAGGCCUAAACCCUUAACUCUCUAGUACUAUGUUCUUGAAGCAGUGUGUGUGGUUACCAGCUCCUUGAACGUCUAGACAUCAGCAGAUGCCACUUAGUCAUCUGGUCAAUGGGAGGAAAAAGUGUGGCGAUCAUUUAACUUGCCCUGCUGGAACUCCCUGAGCUGCCUUGGGCUAUCACCUACUGCACAGGAAUGACCACCAACAAUGGAGCCACAGUGAAGCCUGAAGUCAAGACAUCCAGGAUUAUUUGAGCAGGAGGAUGAGAAACUGAAGCCCAGGCCUCAGGGAGAUAAAUUCCAAAGAUGGGGUCUUAAAUGUUGCCCAGGCUGGCCUCAAAGUCCUGGGAUCAAGUGGUCCUCCUGCCUCAACCUACCAAGAAGCUAGGAAUUCAGGCAUGUGGUACUGCACCUGGCUGAUUUUCUAUUAAACAUUAUGCAAAAUUAAACUGAAACUACAAUAAUUAACAGUACUUCAGUACCUAGAAUACUAUGUAUUAAAAAGUUGAUCAACUACUCAGACAUAGCACUUACUUUCAACAGAAUUUUUAUAUUAUAUAUAAAAUUAUAUAUAAUAUAAAAAUUACAGAAUUUUUAUAUUAUACUUCCACAUAAAAGUUGCAGUUGGGUAUGAUGGCACAUGCCUGUAAUCUCAGCACUCAUAAGGCUGAGACACGAGGAUAACUGUGAGUUCAAGGCCAGCCUGAACUGCAUAGUGAAACCCUGUCUUAAAAAGACAAAAAAUAACCGUGGGAGCAAUGAAACCCAAAAUGUGUAAUAGCCAUUGUACAAAAGAGAGGAAAAGAAAGUGCUCUAAACUAUAUAACUGCAUGUAUAUUUAAGUGUAUAAGAUAGAAAAUGAUAUCACAGAGUUUUAUUGGAUCAUUGAACAGAACUGUUUGCAGUAUCAUUGUUGGAAUGUCUACUCUACAAGCUUUAAUUUUGUGACUUGAACAAUUAUUUCUAAGA